rnacentral:rRNA from 1 species
UACGUAGGGCGCAAGCGUUGUCCGGAAUUAUUGGGCGUAAAGAGCUCGUAGGCGGUCUGUUACGUCCGCUGUGAAAACCCAGGGCUUAACCCUGGGCUUGCAGUGGAUACGGGUAGACUAGAGGCAGGUAGGGGAGAAUGGAAUUCCCGGUGUAGCGGUGAAAUGCGCAGAUAUCGGGAGGAACACCGGUGGCGAAGGCGGUUCUCUGGGCCUGACCUGACGCUGAGGAGCGAAAGCGUGGGAGCGAACAGG